CGAAAGGCGGGCUAAACCCGCGUACAUGCCACCGGGGCAUCCCGGAGGCAGGAAAGGCUUCGGCCGGACAGGGAUGGGCAUGCGGCGCAUUAGGCAGUAGGCGGGGUAACGGCCCACCUAACCGACGAUGCGUAGGGGUUCUGAGAGGAAGGUCCCCCACACUGGUACUGAGACACGGACCAGACUCCUACGGGAGGCAGCAGUGAGGAAUAUUGGUCAAUGGUCGGGAGACUGAACCAGCCAAGCCGCGUGAGGGAGGAAGGUACAGAGUAUCGUAAACCUCUUUUGUCAGGGAACAAAGACUGGGACGCGUCCCCGGAUGAGUGUACCUGAAGAAAAAGCAUCGGCUAACUCCGUGCCAGCAGCCGCGGUAAUACGGAGGAUGCGAGCGUUAUCCGGAUUUAUUGGGUUUAAAGGGUGCGCAGGCGGUCUGUUAAGUCAGCGGUCAAAGCCCGGGGCUCAACCCCGGCCCGCCGUUGAAACUGGCAGUCUCGAGUUGGAGAGAAGUAUGCGGAAUGCGCGGUGUAGCGGUGAAAUGCAUAGAUAUCGCGCAGAACUCCGAUUGCGAAGGCAGCAUGCCGGCUCCACACUGACGCUGAGGCACGAAAGCGUGGGUAUCGAACAGGAUUAGAUACCCUGGUAGUCCACGCAGUAAACGAU
rnacentral:rRNA from 1 species